UGGAACAUUGGUUCUCGUACGAUUACCAAAGUUAAGCAACGUUGAUCCUGAUAAUUACCUAGAUGGGUGACCGCUGGGGAAUACCAGGUGCUGUAA